AUUGAACGCUGGCGGCAGGCUUAACACAUGCAAGUCGAGCGAGCGGCGGACGGGUGAGUAAUGUCUGGGAACCUGCCUGAUGGAGGGGGCUAACUACUGGAAACGGUAGCUACUAACGCAUACAAUCUGAUGUGACCAGAUGGGAUUAGCGAGUGGGUGGGGUAAGGGCUCACCUAGGCGACGAUCACUAGCGGGUCUGAGAGGAUGACCAGCCACACUGGAACUGGGACACGGCCCAGACUCCUACGGGAGGCAGCAGUGGGGAAUAUUGCACAAUGGGCGCAAGCCUGAUGCAGCCAUGCCGCGUGUAUGAAGAAGGCCUUAGGGUUGUAAAGUACUUUCAGCGGGGAGGCGUUACCGGCAGAAGAAGCACCGGCUAACUCCGUGCCAGCAGCCGCGGUAAUUC
rnacentral:rRNA from 1 species